UGGGGAAUAUUGCACAAUGGGCGCAAGCCUGAUGCAGCCAUGCCGCGUGUAUGAAGAAGGCCUUCGGGUUGUAAAGUACUUUCAGCGGGGAGGAAGGGAGUAAAGUUAAUACCUUUGCUCAUUGACGUUACCCGCAGAAGAAGCACCGGCUAACUCCGCGCCAGCAGCCGCGGUAAUACGGAGGGUGCAAGCGUUAAUCGGAAUUACUGGGCGUAAAGCGCACGCAGGCGGUUUGUUAAGUCAGAUGUGAAAUCCCCGGGCUCAACCGGGGAACUGCAUCUGAUACUGGCAAGCUUGAGUCUCGUAGAGGGGGGUAGAAUUCCAGGUGUAGCGGUGAAAUGCGUAGAGAUCUGGAGGAAUACCGGUGGCGAAGGCGGCCCCCUGGACGAAGACUGACGCUCAGGUGCGAAAGCGUGGGGAGCAAACA
rnacentral:rRNA from 1 species